UUCUUUGUCAUUUGCCAUCGCCAUUUCUCCUCAGUCUAGUGUCUGCCCCUCUUGGGCGAUUUCUGAUGGUGGGAUAUGUUUUCCACUGGGGCCUACGCUUACCACCUGCCUCCCAGUUUUCCCGUCGCCUUCAGAAGCUAGUUAUUUUUACAAAGGAGCACUCCUCCCUCCAACCCAAUCUUAAAUACAGUUUUGGAACAAGGAGCCUGCCUCCUCUAAGGUAACGGCCGCUCUCCUGUACCAGCUGCUGUCACUUCCUUCACAUGAGUGGACACGUGUUUCCUCUCCUGGUUCCUCUUUAUUUCCCUGCCCUUCCCCCUCUGUGGGGCUGAGGGCAGGCGGGGCUCCUCGCACCAGGUGCUGCGUAUCUGAUCAGUGCCCUAGAACCGAAUGGCAGAAAAUUCUGACCAGGUCUUCCUACAAAGUCUCCACCAGCAUCUGGAGGUUUGGGCUGCAAGACAAAGGCUGGUUCCCCAUCCAUCAGCUUUCUCGAUGUCUUCUCUUCCUGGGGUCAGACUGAAUAAGUAGUCUAACGGCCCUUCGCGUCAGGGACGGAACCCAAGAUGUGGCCUACACGAAGCCGGAGGUUUGGCCCUGCUGCAACACCGUCCCCUCAGCGAGCACCAUUGGCUGCUGUCUCGGCCUCGGUUUAAAGCUCUGUUGGCUCACCCCGACCUGAGUCCUAGUGGCAAGCUGGCAAGAAGCAGCCUGUGAGGGCAUGGGGCAGAAAAGCGUCAGUCCUGGAUUUCUGCCGUGCUCCAGCCUCCUAAUACCCAUGAGGAGAUAGCAGCUCUCAGCACCUGGCCCAGGCUCUCCAUGAAAUCCUGGCAUGGCAACCAGAUGUGGGAUGCCAGGCCGCCACACAGGGAGGCGAGAGAGCUUCAGUGAAGGAGACCGGUGCUGACAGAGGGGAAUAGAAGCACGCCAGGGAACAGCUGGAUCCCGGGACGGAGGCAGCGGGGAACAGACCUGCGUCUCCAUCAAGGUUUCAAGCCAUCCUCUGACAUCGCUCGUCAGGGAUUUUACCGCUCUCCCAGGACAUGCAGCUAUCGAGGCUCUCUUUGGAAACUUUGUUCUGCCCACAAGUACUCAUGGACAUUCACAUGCUUUCAGAGGUCGUGUAGACGCCCUUAAAGUCCCAUUUGUGACUAUUUUAAAGGUCGCUUUUUAUUUACACCGAAAAUACGUAUAAGAACUGUUUCUGUGAAAUUAGGUCACAGUCAGCGAGAACCAAGAGACUUACAUUCCUCUGUGCAGGAAACAGUUUCAUCAUCACUGCCAUCAAAGACGCUGCAUGGAAGGUCAGCUCUGGACUGUGUGUAGAGCGCUCCGAUCGAGAUCGUUAGAUCUCUGCAGAUAGGCGGCUAACGCGUCACUACAAAUGUGGGUAGAAGGAGGACACCCUAAAGUUUCACGAAUGAAGAGAUUUUCUGAGGAUCAAGCCAACGGCCGCGCUUCCCUCCCAUCCCCGGAUCUGUCCCCGCCCACCGCAAAAAGGCCAAAGGAAAAGGAAGAGCCAUCCUUUUGCUGUGCCUCUCUCGCUGAGUUCCCCUUCACAUUCUCUGAGGAAUUAUCUAUGCCUAUUUUAUCAGUGGAGAAAAGGAGGCUCAGAACGGCCCAGAAACUUGCCAGCCGUCACGUGGGUAGAAGCAAACUGAGAAGCAAACGCUUUCCAGAGUUGGGCCGCGUCUGGGAGGUACUACCUUUAAACAUGGAGUCGACUGCGACCUAACGAGACCCAAGGAGUCUGCUGGCUGGCCUGGUCCCCAAGCAGAAGCAGAUCACUGCCCAACUUCUACGUGUGGGACGACCCGUGGCAACAUAAAGGGCAAACACACAAGGAAGUCUUUCUUUCUGAGAAUGUUUCCACUGCAGUUAGGUUAGAAAAUGAUCCGGGGAAGAUAUAAACUAGCUCUUUCAUUUAGCAAAAUAAAAUGCCUCUCCACUUGGUAAUCUGGGUGGUGGAAGUCCUAGCCAGAGUCUUGGUUUUUAAAGGUUUUGUUUAAUUUGCCACCCCCACACCUCUCCUCCCACCACCUCGCAUCAGGCUAGACAAGAAGAAAGGGGACAGUGGCCUGGCAGAUGCCUCCGUGUGGUAUGUCCUUGCAGAAUAGCUUCAGCAGCACUUUAUAUCAAAUAACCAGGGGAAAAAAGGGAAGUGGAGGUGAUGGGAGGUGUCUGCAUUUCCUGGGGUUUUGUUCCAGUUUUAAUAAAUAAGGAUAAUGCAUAGAGUGUCUCCAUUUCCAGAGCUGUGUUUUUUUCCUUAAACACUGCCGCUCUUCAUGGGGAAGGAAUGAGACAUUCCUGACACAUGAUUUGGCAGGUCUCAAUCAUAAAUGAUCCAAUAUUGGCUUUCAGAAUCCCGUUCCAGAUUUGGCCCAGACUCCAAACCCUGUCCAGGCACCAGCUAGAUGAGUACCUCUGGGCCUGGGCGGGGUGCCAGCCACACUUUGAAUAACAUUUGUGGGAUCUCCCCAGGGGUUCUGGUGAGGAAGGCAGUGAUUUGUUGUCCGGAUAGCUUUUCCCUCCUUGGAAAAGAGCACACGGAAUGAAAGCGCAUGAAGGACAUCAGGUGUCCCCACAGGAGUUUCAUAAUAGCGAAGACAUGGAGGAGCCACCAUGCAGGGACCAAGUGAGGAACGUUUUGUCCCCGCCCUAAGGUACUUGCCCUCAAUCAGCUAAUCCCACUAUGGUACGGCUGGUGGCACCUGUCAAGUUAAAAAGUGAAAUCUACCAAACUUAUUUGUCUUUGGGGGUGGGGCUGUGUCUUUUCCUGAGUGGUGCCCCGUCUGGCAUUUCUCAAAACAUGAUCUAGAGACUCGUCUGCAUUAGAAUCGAGGGGAUCUAGUUCCAUGGUGGAUUUUUGGUCUCCUAAUCACCUACCAAGUAUGUGCGAACUAGAGCCAAGAAUUUGCUUCACAGCAACCUGCCAGGCAAUCCUGAUACACCCCAAAGUUGUGAGCCAUUGGCUAUAAAAAAUCCUUCACAUAUUUUUAAUCCAUCGCAGCACCUCGUGGCGGUGGAGAGUAAGACUGGCUUCGUUUUGCUGAUGGCCAUGUGAAUUUGUUUCACUGCGUGUCUACUUACUGUAGGGAAAGUUUGAACUGCUAAAGACAGGGGCUACUUUAAGCCUUUGCUCUUGCCGAUUGAUACAUGUAUCUUGUCCUUUUGCAGUUAUGGUUAUCAUCUGCCCACCAACAGUAUUUCUAAGAAGCUGCUUCUCUGUGUCUUCUGGGAAGAAUGUAUCCUUCAAUAUAUGUGAUUGCAGCCUGUUGAUAAAAGCAAAAGAAAAAUAAUAAAACCCACUUUGUUGAACUUCUCA